AUUGAACGCUGGCGGCAUGCCUUACACAUGCAAGUCGAACGGUAACAGGUCUUCGGAUGCUGACGAGUGGCGAACGGGUGAGUAAUACAUCGGAACGUGCCUAGUAGUGGGGGAUAACUACUCGAAAGAGUGGCUAAUACCGCAUGAGAUCUACGGAUGAAAGCAGGGGAUCGCAAGACCUUGUGCUACUAGAGCGGCCGAUGGCAGAUUAGGUAGUUGGUGGGAUAAAAGCCUACCAAGCCGACGAUCUGUAGCUGGUCUGAGAGGACGAUCAGCCACACUGGGACUGAGACACGGCCCAGACUCCUACGGGAGGCAGCAGUGGGGAAUUUUGGACAAUGGGCGCAAGCCUGAUCCAGCAAUGCCGCGUGCAGGAUGAAGGCCUUCGGGUUGUAAACUGCUUUUGUACGGAACGAAAAGCCCUGGGUUAAUACCCUGGGGUCAUGACGGUACCGUAAGAAUAAGCACCGGCUAGCUACGUGCCAGCAGCCGCGGUAACAC
rnacentral:rRNA from 1 species